rfam:Paenibacillus polymyxa SC2, complete genome.
CACAGUUACUGGGGGAGCCUGUAAUGCGGGCUGAGAUGGAAUCGGGCAAGAUUCCGGACCCUUUGCACCUGAUCUGGAUCAUACCAGCGUAGGGAAGUAAUCGGCCAUUGAA